rnacentral:misc_RNA from 1 species
GAUGAAGAACGUAGCGAAAUGCGAUAAGUAAUGUGAAUUGCAGAAUUCAGUGAAUCAUCGAAUCUUUGAACGCACAUUGCGCCCCUUGGUAUUCCGAGGGGCAUGCCUGUUCGAGCGUCAUUAUAACCCCUCAAGCUCGGCUUGGUGUUGGGGCCUGCCGCACGGGCAGCUCUUAAAAUCAGUGGCGGUGCCAUCUGGCUCUAAGCGUAGUAAUUCUUCUCGCUAUAGAGUCCCGGUGGAUGCUUGCCAUUAACCCCCAAUUUCAAUGGUUGACCUCGGAUCAGGUAGGGAUACCCGCUGAACUUAAGCAUAUCAAUAAGCGGAGGA